rnacentral:rRNA from 1 species
GAUGAACGCUGGCGGCGUGCCUAAUACGUGCAAGUCGAGCGAACAGACGAGGAGCUUGCUCCUCUGACGUUAGCGGCGGACGGGUGAGUAACACGUGGAUAACCUACCUAUAAGACUGGGAUAACUUCGGGAAACCGGAGCUAAUACCGGAUAAUAUAUUGAACCGCAUGGUUCAAUAGUGAAAGACGGUUUUGCUGUCACUUAUAGAUGGAUCCGCGCCGCAUUAGCUAGUUGGUAAGGUAACGGCUUACCAAGGCAACGAUGCGUAGCCGACCUGAGAGGGUGAUCGGCCACACUGGAACUGAGACACGGUCCAGACUCCUACGGGAGGCAGCAGUAGGGAAUCUUCCGCAAUGGGCGAAAGCCUGACGGAGCAACGCCGCGUGAGUGAUGAAGGUCUUCGGAUCGUAAAACUCUGUUAUUAGGGAAGAACAAAUGUGUAAGUAACUAUGCACGUCUUGACGGUACCUAAUCAGAAAGCCACGGCUAACUACGUG